GACGAACGCUGGCGGCGUGCUUAACACAUGCAAGUCGAACGGCAAGGCCCUGCUUUUGUGGGGUGCCCGGGUGCGGAAGGGGGGAGUAACACGAAAGUAACCUGCCCUUCACUUUGGGGUAAGUUCAGGAAACUGGGCCUACUACAGGACAGGAGCUCCUCUUCCAUGGUGGGGGUUGGAACGUUUCGGCGUUUGUGGAUGGACUCGCGGCUUAUCAGCUUGUUGGUGGGGUAGUGGCUUACCAAGGCUUUGACGGGUAGCCGGCCUGGGAGGGUGACCGGCCACAUUGGGCCUACGAGACGGCCCAGACUCCUACGGGAGGCAGCAGUCGGGAAUAUGGCACAAUGGGCGGAAGCCUGAGGCGGCAACCCUGCGGUCGGGAUGACGGCUUUCGGGGUGAAAACCGCUUUCGCCUGUGACGAAGCGUGAGUGACGGUAAUGGAUAAAGAAGCACCGGCUAACUACGUG
rnacentral:rRNA from 1 species